CCUACGGGUGGCAGCAGUGAGGAAUAUUGGUCAAUGGGCGCGAGCCUGAACCAGCCAAGUCGCGUGAAGGAUGACUGCCCUACGGGUUGUAAACUUCUUUUAUCAAGGAAUAAAGUGAGGCCCGUGUGCCUUUUUGUAUGUACUUUAUGAAUAAGGAUCGGCUAACUCCGUGCCAGCAGCCGCGGUAAUACGGAGGAUCCGAGCGUUAUCCGGAUUUAUUGGGUUUAAAGGGGGCGUAGAGGGGUUGUUAAGUCAGUUGUGAAAGUUUGCGGCUCAACCGUAAAGUUGCAAUUGAUACUGGCAGUCUUGAGGAGAGGAGAGGUAGGCGGAAUGCGUGGUGUAGCGGUGAAAUGCUUAGAUAUCACGAAGAACUCCGAUUGCGAAGGCAGCAUACUGAACUGCAACUGACAUUGAGGCUCGAAAGUGUGGGUAUCAAACAGGAUUAGAUACCCUUGUAGUC
rnacentral:rRNA from 1 species